rnacentral:rRNA from 1 species
GAACUGAGACACGGUCCAGACUCUACGGGAGGCAGCAGUGGGGAAUAUUGCGCAAUGGGGGGAAACCCUGACGCAGCCAUGCCGCGUGAAUGAAGAAGGCCUUCGGGUUGUAAAGUUCUUUCGGUAAUGAGGAAGGGAUGUUGUUAAAUAGAUAGCAUCAUUGACGUUAAUUACAGAAGAAGCACCGGCUAACUCCGUGCCAGCAGCCGCGGUAAUACGGAGGGUGCGAGCGUUAAUCGGAAUAACUGGGCGUAAAGGGCACGCAGGCGGACUUUUAAGUGAGAUGUGAAAUCCCCGAGCUUAACUUGGGAACUGCAUUUCAGACUGGGAGUCUAGAGUACUUUAGGGAGGGGUAGAAUUCCACGUGUAGCGGUGAAAUGCGUAGAGAUGUGGAGGAAUACCGAAGGCGAAGGCAGCCCCUUGGGAAUGUACUGACGCUCAUGUGCGAAAGCGUGGGGAGCAAACAGGAUUAGAUACCCUGGUAGUCCACGCUGUAAACGCUGUCGAUUUGGGGAUUGGGCUAUAUGCUUGGUGCCCGAAGCUAACGUGAUAAAUCGACCGCCUGGGGAGUACGGCCGCAAGGUUAAAACUCAAAUGAAUUGACGGGGGCCCGCACAAGCGGUGGAGCAUGUGGUUUAAUUCGAUGCAACGCGAAGAACCUUACCUACUCUUGACAUCCUAAGAAGAGCUCAGAGAUGAGCUUGUGCCUUCGGGAACUUAGAGACAGGUGCUGCAUGGCUGUCGUCAGCUCGUGUUGUGAAAUGUUGGGUUAAGUCCCGCAACGAGCGCAACCCUUAUCCUUUGUUGCCAGCGAUUCGGUCGGGAACUCAAAGGAGACUGCCAGUGACAA